rnacentral:rRNA from 1 species
AGUGAACGCUGGCGGUAGGCCUAACACAUGCAAGUCGAACGGCAGCACAGUAAGAGCUUGCUCUUACGGGUGGCGAGUGGCGGACGGGUGAGGAAUACAUCGGAAUCUACUUUUUCGUGGGGGAUAACGUAGGGAAACUUACGCUAAUACCGCAUACGACCUACGGGUGAAAGCAGGGGAUCUUCGGACCUUGCGCGAUUGAAUGAGCCGAUAUCGGAUUAGCUAGUUGGCGGGGUAAAGGCCCACCAAGGCGACGCUCCGUAGCUGGUCUGAGAGGGUGGUCAGCCACACUGGAACUGAGAAACGGUCCAGACUCCUACAGGAGGCAGCAGUGGGGAAUAUUGGACAAUGGGCGCAAGCCUGAUCCAGCCAUACCGCGUGGGUGAAGAAGGCCUUCGGGUUGUAAAGCCCUUUUGUUGGGAAAGAAAAGCAGCAGGUUAAUACCCCGCUGUUCUGACGGUACCCAAAGAAUAAGCACCGGCUAACUUCGUG